UGGGGUUGUGGCUCGGAGGUAGAGCACUUGCCUAGCAUGUGUGAGGCCCUGGGUUCGAUCCCCAGCACCACAA
rnacentral:tRNA from 1 species